rnacentral:tRNA from 1 species
GGUCAAUAUAAUGUUUGUUUUGAAAGCAAUCGGCUAAGUGUUUAAAAAUGCUUAUUGACUU